UUAACUCUGAGAUGUUCGCCAGCGGGUCUAUUCCCCUGCCGAUACUUAAACUUAUGGAUUGCGUUCUGUAUAUUUAGAGUGUAUGCCCACCUUCGAGUGGGAAACCCAGCAAGUAUACGUCGCGUCCACCUUGAACUCAUCGGGUUCAGGGUAACGACACAUGCAGCGGCAUCAUCGGAGUACUU
rfam:Acinetobacter tandoii DSM 14970 = CIP 107469 genomic scaffold acPFI-supercont1.22, whole genome shotgun sequence.